UAUGAACUUAAGUCUCCUAUGUAACAGAUGCCACCCUUGGCCAGCACAGCACUGCAGGCUUGAAUACUGGCACUUCCAGUUCCAUGUUUAUCUUUGGACACAGAAGGAAAAAUGUCACUGGAAGACUCAGCAAUAUUGCAAGUUUAAGAGUAUUGUAAGUGCCUGGUGGAACAACUUGAGAAGCAAAGAUGUUGGCCAGGACAGCAGUGAACCUCCAGCAUGAACUUGAAGUCAGUGAGAGCAGAUACUUAAAAUUGUCACUGAGAAAAGAAGUACCUAAUGGAAACAAAGUACAGGUGAACAAACACAUUAAAGAAAUCUAUGCAGGUAAGUUAGAACAAAUAACCAUUGGAGUCUUCAUACAAAAACUUACCAAGAACAAAUAUAUCUCUGUAUUAAGCACAAAUUCAGAAUGUAAGCAUCUGACACUGUUAAUUUUACUUCUAGAAAGGUAGCAGACAUGAUCUGCUAAAACUCAUGGAAUAAGAAAGGAAAGUCAAACUGAAAUCUCAGGUUCAUUUUAUAUGAUUACAAAGUACUUUCCAAUAGAUAGGAGAAGAUGGAAAGAGAAGUUGAAGAACUACCAAAUAAUUAGGGAGUUUGCCAAUGCAUGGAAAGCAGGUAAAAGCAGAUAUUCUCGAAUAACAGCAAGUACACAUUUCAGACUGUAAGAGGAAAGUCCGUGAGUGGUUUUGUAAUCUGGACCUCUAUAUAAUAAGAACUCUACCAAUUCUCAAGAUUUUUUUCUAGGAGGUUUUCUAGGGUUUAGGUCAAUUUUUAAUGGAACUUUCUUACCAUUUGGUUUAUAGAGCUGUACACUAUUGACUUCUAUACAUGCAGUCACUUGUAAGCCAUUUUGUACACAAGCUGGAAUUCCUAUAAUCCUGUAGUGGUUUCCUAUUGUCAUUUUAUUGGCCAGUUCAUCUGCAAAUAAUAAAAAACUAAGUACAGGGGGCAAAGCUACAGAUAUGUUAGGGCAUAAAAACAGUUUUAAAGCCAUGGUCAGAAAACUUCUACACAUUCUGAAUGUUUGAUUUUAUGAUUUAACACUGGCAGAAAACAGCUGGAGGCCAGAUUGAUAAUGGGUUAGAAUAAAAUGAAACAUACAAUUUUAAUUAUUUAGUUUAAAAGAUAAGGAAGGCACACCAGGUUAGGGAAAACAGAUUUCAUUAUAAAGAAAAUAGACAAUGCAUUUAGUCCUGCAAUGAAAAGAAUAUGGACAGUUUUUUUGCAAGUAUAUUUCCUACUCUGAAGUUUAUGGCAUCACUGUUAUCAGUCACCGUCCUAUAAAAUAUCAGAGAAAAAACCCAACACAAUAAAGAGGAGAUAAAAACUACAGAGAUUUCAAAAAUAGCUUUGUGAACUUUUAUAUUUUUGUGCACAUUAGAAAACCAAGUCCCAUUUAUUUUUUGAAAAUGAGAAUUAAAUCCAAGCAGAUCUCAAUCUCAGCCUGAGAAACACUGUAUCUGAUCACUAGAGCCAGCUGAAAUGUACUGCGUGCAACUCUCAGUACCUUGACCAUAGAUUGUUCUACAAAUUUUUAUUAUAAUUUUAGUACUGUUAGUUCUUUAUAUUUAGUUUUCAAUAAAUGAACCAUUUAUUGAACCAGAAUUCCCUUGAAUUUUGGAAUGGAUGAGGAUUUUUUUUGUUUCUUGUCUCUGUGUUUGUUUUGGGUCUUUUUAAGAAUUAAUGGAAGUACAUUGCUGAGUUGUGAUUUUAGUUAGCUAUAAACAUUAGAAACCAUUUUAUAUUUGCAGUGGAUGGCAGUGGUAGUAGAACCCAAAAAUCCUGAUAGAAUGUGGAAAACAGCUAGAUUAUGGAAGGACGUUAAAUAAACAUGAAGUUAGUACAGAACAGCACGACCAAAGGAAGUAGAAA